rnacentral:rRNA from 1 species
GUAGGUGACCUGCGGCAGGAUCAUUA